rnacentral:lncRNA from 1 species
AGACCAUUUUGGCUACUGCUAGACAAUCAAUCAGCAUAUCAGAUUUCAUUUUAGGAGGUGAAGAAGUUUCUCCGAAACUUCUUUCGGAUUUAAAAUGUAACAUGAGUGGUAAAGAAUUUAAGGUGUGGAAUGAAUAUGGACCAACAGAAGCAACAGUUGGAUGCAUUUUUAAAUGUUUCAAAAGCUCUGAUAUUCCAGUUAACCAGUCGAAUUUUGUAACAAUAGGAAAACCAAUACAAAAUGUGAUUGCUGUUGUUGUGAGAAAAGAUAACCUUCAAGUGCCAAUAGGAGGCAGAGGUACACUCGCUAUCGGAGGUAAAUGUCUUUGUAUAGACUUUACCGGCAUUGGUAUACUCAAACAAACACAGGUUAAAGAAUCUUUCGUUUCGGCUGAUUUCGGAAGACCCGGGGAAGUAAUGUUACUAACAGACGACAUUGUUGAAUGUCUUCCAAUGUCUGGAGAUUUGGCGUACUUCGGUCGGGAAAGCAACAGGACAUUAAAAAUCAAGGGAUUCAGGGUCGAUUUAUUAGAAGUGCAACACUCCAUAGAAAAUGAGCCUCUUGUUAACAAAGUAUGGGUAUGUUCAUUUUUAUACAAACGUCAACAUUACCUUGGAGCAGCAAUUUUGUAUAAGCAACUUACGCAUGAAUCUCAUCGAUCAUGGGUUAGUAAAGCUAAAUCAUCACUGAGGAGUUGUCUUCCAAUUCAUGCUAUUCCAAAUGUCUUUAUCCAAGUUAGCAAAGCCCCUCUGAAUGCGAACGGGAAAAUAAAUACUCCUUUAAUUCAGAGGCUCUGUAUUGAUGAGCUACAGUCAACCAUCGAGA